UGGGGAAUAUUGCGCAAUGGGGGAAACCCUGACGCAGCGACGCCGCGUGUGGGAUGAAGGUCUUCGGAUUGUAAACCACUGUCGCGAGGGACGAAGCUCUGACGGUACCUCGAAAGGAAGCACCGGCUAACUCUGUGCCAGCAGCCGCGGUAAUACAGAGGGUGCGAGCGUUGUCCGGAAUCACUGGGCGUAAAGCGCACGUAGGCGGCUAGGUCCGUCCAAUGUGAAAGCCCCCGGCUCAACCGGGGAAUUGCAUCGGAUACAGCCUGGCUUGAGGACGGUUGGGGUGAGUGGAACUCCUGGUGGAGCGGUGAAAUGCGUAGAUAUCAGGAGGAACACCGGUGGCGAAGGGCGGCCACCUGGUUGGAUACUGACGCUGAGACGCGAAAGCGUGGGGAGCAAACAGGAUUAGAUACCCGGGUAGUCCCUGAGCGGGCUGGCAAGGCGCAU
rnacentral:rRNA from 1 species